UGAAAAAAAUGUACUUUUGAAAUAGUGACAAAUUACUAAGUAAAAAGUAAGUAUCUGAACAUAGACAUUCACAGUGACUUGCAAGCUCUCCUCCCCACUCUUCUCCCUUUAAACACACACAUUCACACACACAUUCCUGAGUUCUAAGUCCAUCUAGCAAACAAGCAAAGUUACCCCAGCCCCAACAUUCAGAUUAAGUGUUUUAAAUUUGCCAACUUGAUUCUUGAGUAUGCUUCAAAUAUCUGAAUUUAUAAAAAUAAAAGCUUUGAAUUAAUUAACUAGGAACAUUUACUAGAACAGCCAGCCAUCUCUGGGUGAAAGAAAGGAGAGACUAAAAUUUAAAGAUUAUUUGUUAAACUGCUUCCAAUUUGAGAGAACAUUCCUCAGUAUUUACUUGAGUCAAAAGGAAUUUCUAAGAAGAAAAAAACACCCCAUGGAAGCGAUUUAUUUAUUUACAUACAUUUAACAUGUAGAUGUUUCUUCAAAUAGCUAGAGCUCCUCCAGAUAGAAACACAAUGCCUCUCUUAGCUCCCCAGGAGCACUCAUUGUUACCCUAAUCUAUGCCAUCAAACAAGCAGAUGGGGGAUUUUUUUUUUAAAGAGGAGGAUAUCUUGUGGUAAUGGUUUUAGCUGUUAACAUUGACAUCUGUAUACUUCAAAAAAAAAAAAGUAUCCAGACCCACCCAGGAUCAUACACUCCCUGGGAGCUGAUACAUUAGAAUAACAAAAGGCUCUUGUAAUGAUUCUCUGAGAUAAAAAGGCAAAAGGAAUUCAGGGGUUAAGAUUAGUAUAAAUACAAGUGCCUGAGGUCCUUGCCUUUUAACCUUCAAGAGGAGAACAGGACUCUUUGGAAAAUAUGAUCCAGGAAGGUUAAGAAAAUCUCUUCCAAAGGUUCUGGACCUACCUCAAUAGCUUUUGCUGCUUGUUCUUUUGUUUCAAAUUCCACAAAGGCAAAUCCCUUUGGAUCUCCAGUAGACUUAUAAUGUGGUAUACUUAUAUAAACAACAUUGCCACAUUUCCCAAAAACUCUCUCAAUCCAGCUGUGAUUAACGUU